rnacentral:rRNA from 1 species
UACGGGGGGGAGCAAGCGUUGUUCGGAUUUACUGGGCGUAAAGGGCGCGUAGGCGGCCACCGCAAGUCGGUUGUGAAAUCUCUGGGCUUAACCCAGAAAGGUCAACCGAUACUGCGGGGCUAGAGUGCAGAAGGGGCAACUGGAAUUCUCGGUGUAGCGGUGAAAUGCGUAGAUAUCGAGAGGAACACCUGCGGCGAAGGCGGGUUGCUGGGCUGACACGUGACGCUGAAGCGCGAAAGCUAGGGGAGCGAACGGG